rnacentral:rRNA from 1 species
GCCCGAAAGGGUGACGAAGCGACGCCGCGUGAGUGAGGAAGGCCUUCGGGUUGUAAAGCUCUGUCAGGAGUUAAGAAAUAUAAGUGUGCUAAUACCACAUUUAUUUGACAAAGGCUCCAAAGGAAGCCACGGCUAACUCUGUGCCAGCAGCCGCGGUAAUACAGAGGUGGCAAGCGUUGUUCGGAAUUAUUGGGCGUAAAGAGCACGUAGGUGGGUUUGUAAGUCAGAUGUGAAAGCCUUCUGUUCAACGGAAGAAUUGCAUCUGAAACUGCGAGUCUUGAGUGUAGGAGGGGAGAAUGGAACUUCUGGUGGAGCGGUGAAAUGCGUAGAUAUCAGAAGGAACGCCGGCGGCGAAAGCGAUUCUCUGGCCUAUUACUGACACUCAGUGUGCGAAAGCUAGGGGAGCAAACGGGAUUAGAUACCCCGGUAGUCCUAGCUGUAAACGAUGGGCACUAAGUAGAGGGGCAUU